rnacentral:rRNA from 1 species
GAGUAUGGGAGAGGAUGGUAGAAUUCCAGGUGUAGCGGUGAAAUGCGUAGAGAUCUGGAGGAAUACCGAUGGCGAAGGCAGCCAUCUGGCCUAAUACUGACACUGAGGUACGAAAGCAUGGGGAGCAAACAGGAUUAGAUACCCUGGUAGUCCAUGCCGUAAACGAUGUCUACUAGCCGUUGGGGUCUUUGAGACUUUAGUGGCGCAGCUAACGCGAUAAGUAGACCGCCUGGGGAGUACGGUCGCAAGACUAAAACUCAAAUGAAUUGACGGGGGCCCGCACAAGCGGUGGAGCAUGUGGUUUAAUUCGAUGCAACGCGAAGAACCUUACCUGGUCUUGACAUAGUAAGAACUUUCCAGAGAUGGAUUGGUGCCUUCGGGAGCUUACAUACAGGUGCUGCAUGGCUGUCGUCAGCUCGUGUCGUGAGAUGUUGGGUUAAGUCCCGCAACGAGCGCAACCCUUUUCCUUAUUUGCCAGCGGGUUAAGCCGGGAACUUUAAGGAUACUGCCAGUGACAAACUGGAGGAAGGCGGGGACGACGUCAAGUCAUCAUGGCCCUUACGACCAGGGCUACACACGUGCUACAAUGGUCGGUACAAAGGGUUGCUACCUAGCGAUAGGAUGCUAAUCUCAAAAAGCCGAUCGUAGUCCGGAUUGGAGUCUGCAACUCGACUCCAUGAAGUCGGAAUCGCUGGUAAUCGCGGAUCAGAAUGCCGCGGUGAAUACGUUCCCGGGCCUUGUACACACCGCCCGUCACACCAUGGGAGUUUGUUGCACCAGAAGUAGGUAGUCUAACCGCAAGGAGGACGCUUACCACGGUGUGGCCGAUGACUGGGGUGAAGUCGUAAUCAAGGUAACC